CGGGUGAGUAACGCGUAAACAACCUGCCCUUUGGAUGGGGACAACAGCUGGAAACGGCUGCUAAUACCGAAUACGUUCUUUUCAUCGCAUGGUGAGAAGAAGAAAGGACGGCCUCUACACAAAGCGGUCGCCGAAGGAGGGGUUUGCGUCUGAUUAGCUAGUUGGAGGGGUAACGGCCCAACAAGGCGACGAUCAGUAGCCGGUCUGAGAGGAUGAACGGCCACAUUGGGACUGAGACACGGCCCAGACUCCUACGGGAGGCAGCAGUC
rnacentral:rRNA from 1 species